rnacentral:rRNA from 1 species
GAUGAACGCUGGCGGUAUGCUUAACACAUGCAAGUCGAACGGACUCUUCGGAGUUAGUGGCGGACGGGUGAGUAACGCGUGAGAAUCUGGCUUUGGGUUCGGGACAACCACUGGAAACGGUGGCUAAUACCGGAUGUGCCGAGAGGUAAAAGAGAAAUUGCCUGAAGAUGAGCUCGCGUCUGAUUAGCUAGUUGGUGAGGUAAAGGCUCACCAAGGCAGCGAUCAGUAGCUGGUCUGAGAGGAUGACCAGCCACACUGGGACUGAGACACGGCCCAGACUCAUAAGGGAGGCAGGAGUGGGGAAUGUUCCGCAAUGGGCGAAAGCCUGACGGAGCAAUACCGAGUGAGGGAAGAAGGCUCUUGAGUUGUAAACCUCUUUUCUUAGGGAAGAACAAAAUGACGGUACCUAAGGAAUCAGCAUCGGCUAACUACGUG